rnacentral:lncRNA from 1 species
AUCCAUGGAGGGAUUGAUGGAUCCAUGGAGGGAUCCAUGGAGGGAUUGAUGGAUGGAUUCAUGGAUGGAUUUAUGGAGGGAUUGAUGGAUUCAUGGAGGGAUCCAUGGAGGGAUUGAUGGAUCCAUGGAGGGAUUGAUGGAUUCAUGGAGGGAUCCAUGGAGGGAUCCAUGGAGGGAUUGAUGGAUGGAUCCAUGGAUUCAUGGAGGGAUUGAUGGAUCCAUGGAGGGAUUGAUGGAUGGAUCCAUGGAUUCAUGGAGGGAUCCAUGGAGGGAUUGAUGGAUCCAUGGCGGGAUUGAUGGAGGGAUUGAUGGAGGGAUUCAUGGAGGGAUCCAUGGAUGGAUUCAUGGAGGGAUUUAUGGAGGGAUUGAUGGAUUCAUGGAUGGAUUCAUGGAGGAAUCCAUGGAUUCAUGGAGGGAUUUAUAGAUGGAUUCAUGGAGGGAUCCAUGGAGGGAUUGAUGGAUCCAUGGAGGGAUUCAUGGAGGGAUUCAUGGAUCCAUGGAGGGAUUUAUAGAUGGAUUCAUGGAAAGAUCCAUGGAGGGAUUCAUGAAUUCAUGGAUGGAUCCAUGGAGGGAUCCAUGGAGGGAUUCAUGGAUCCAUGGAGAGAUUUAUGGAGGUAUCCAUCGAGGGAUCCAUGGAGGGAUUUAUGGAGGAAUCCAUGGAUUCAUGGAUGGAUCCAUGGAUUCAUGGAGGGAUUCCAUGGAGGGAUUUAUGGAUCCAUGGAGGGAUUUAUGGAGGGAUUGAUGAAUCCAUGGAGGGAUUCAUGAAUGGAUUCAGGGAUGGAUCCAUGGAGGGAUUCAUGGAUGGAUCCAUGGAGGGAUUCAUGGAUGGAUCCAUGGAGGAAUCCAUGGAUGGAUUCAUGGAGGGAUCCAUGGAGGGAUCCAUGGAUUCAUGGAGGGAUUCAUGGAUGGAUUCAUGGAUGGAUGAAGGGAUGGAUCCAUGGAUUCAUGGGUGGAUCCAUGGAUGGAUUAAUGGAGGAAUCCAUGGAUGGAUUCAUGGAGGGAUUCCAUGGAGGGAUUGAUGGAUUCAUGGAUGGAUCCAUGGAGGGAUUGAUGGAUUCAUGGAUGGAUCCAUGGAUUCAUGGAGGGAUCCAUGGAGGGAUUUAUGGAGGAAUUUAUGGAGGGAUUUAUGGAUUCAUGGAUGGAUCCAUGGAGGGAUCCAUGGAGGAAUCCAUAGAUGGAUCCAUGGAGCGAGGGAGGGAUUCAUGGAUGGAUGAUGGAUGGAUGAUGGAUGAUGGAUGGAUGAUGGAUAAUGGAUGAUGGAUGAUGGAUGAUGGAUGGAUGAUGGAUGGAUGAUGGAGAAUGGAUGAUGGAUGGAUCCAUGGAUGUCCUUCCUCUCAUUCCCAUGGGUCUUUUCUCCUUUCCCUCAUUCCCAGGGGUCUCCCCCUCUCAUCCCAAGGCUGCUCCUCCUCCCCUUCCCAAACCUUCUCCUCUCCUCAUUCCCAGACUUCUCCCUCUCCUCUCCCUCA